GCGACCCAGAUACUCCUUCAGAGCCAAGGUACUCGUUCUGCCAGCUGCUGGAAUUGGUGGCACCUGACAGCUCUCAGCUGUAUCCCUUCUGGAAAAUUGCCUUUGGCCAAAGGGAGCUGCCUCACACGAGGUCAUGCUUCCUCCCUGGGCAGACCACAUCCAAUGUCUGGCCACUGCGGGGGAUACAAAGACUCAUCCCAAACGUGAUCUUUGGUGUAAAUAAGACUGAAAAUUCUCCCUUUAGUAUACUCCACGUGCUUUACAUGACAUGCAUUUAAUCUGCACAGUCAAUCUGCAAGUUGGAUAUGACUUUUAUCCCUACUUUAUGUAUGGGAAAACUGAGACUGAGAGGUUGACUAAAUCACUUUGCAGAGACCACACAGGAAGUAAGGCACUGACCCUGAACUGAGCUCAGGACCCCUGCCUUCUCCCUUGCAGUGCUGACUCCGCUGGAGUCUCGCAGGUAGAAGUAUCACGCUUCUGGUCUGCCAAACUUGUCAGCAUACCUAGAGCUUGAGAAAGAAUUUUUUUAAUUCAAUGAACACUUAUGCAGGUCUUGAAACCAGUGUGCUUCAAAAUGAACUUGAGCAAUAGAGCCUCCUGGGCCUAAGAAAUUCAGAAGAAAAGUAUUGCAAAGAUUUGUGUAAUGGUUAAGCCUUCCUUCAUGAUGAUAGCCACAAACCUCCCCAGAGGUAAUCUGUUGUGGCUCAGAUUCUUCUAUAGAAGCUUCUCCCAAAGAAUGUACACAAGGUUUUCUGUGUAUCCUACCCAUCCAGCCACUUCUCUCCCAUAUAUCUUUGAACUGGGAACAAUUCCACACUUAAAUAGGGAAGUGUGAUGAGAAAAGACUGAUGAUAACAGGUGAGGCUGCUCACCAGCGGCUGCCUUGGUGGUCUGGGAAACUUGUUUUGGAGAAGUUAUUUGAACUAGUAAUUUAUUUAUAUUAAAAAUGAACAACUCUGAAGACCACUGUAGAUUUAUAUUGCUUUUAUAUUUUAAAAUUUUGUGUUCUUUCUCCUAUAUAAAAUUUAAGGCUAAAUAUCUGUCUCUAGGGAAAAGAAGUUAUUCAGUCAUACUGGAAAGGAAUAUGAAAGGGAAGGCUUGAACUGUAGUUAGUCAGAUACUUAAAUCUGCUGAUAGCAUGUGUUCAUUACUCUUCAAUCUUAAAGUUGGAAAAUUAAUGAAUUUUCUGAAGCCAAAGGAAGGAGAACUUUUGUUUUUCAUGGGAGAAUUAAAAUAUUAACAUCUAUACAAUAUUAUUUGUUUACCUUUAUAUAUCUUGAUUUGUUCCACAAAGAAUUUGGAGUGGCUUAUACGAAUUGUUAGCUCAACAGUGGGAUAGAUUGAUGGAUAGAGAUAUAAAUAAAAAUUAGUAUCAUUGUAUGAUUUUUGUUAUAGUGUGCUAUGCAAUUAUUGACAUUAAGCUGAUAUUCCUAAAAGCAGAAGCAAAGAGGAAUACUGUAUAUUAUGUCACUCAUAUUUAGUCCUGAAAGAAUAAAAUUCUUCAGUGAAGCAAAGAUUUUCCUGACACUUAUGACAUUCUGACAAAAAAGUGAAGGCAGGUGUCAUGGGAAACUUUUUAAAAUUUUCCCUAAAAGCAAACUGAGGAUAUAAUGACCAAGUCCAACUCAAUGGAAGCAAUGUUCUGGAUACAUUAGAAAGUGUGUGGUCAACAUACACAGCUUGCUAGUAGACUACCUUAAUUUCCAGAGUAAGGAUACCAAAAUCAUAGCCCGUGGCCCAGCAGCUUCCUCACCCCAACUUAGGAUGUGUGGAUCCAUCAUAGAACUGUUUUCUGCUUAGACAAAACUAGGCUCAGAUCCCUUUCAAAACAGUGC
rnacentral:lncRNA from 1 species